GCUCAGUUGGUUGGACGUCAGACUUCGGCUCAGGUCAUGAGCUCACAGUUCGUGGGUUCGAGCCCCACAUUGAGCU
rnacentral:tRNA from 1 species